GAUGAACGCUGGCGGCGUGCUUAACACAUGCAAGUCGAACGGAAAGGCUCCUGCUUGCAGGGGUACUCGAGUGGCGAACGGGUGAGUAACACGUGGGUGAUCUGCCCUGCACUUCGGGAUAAGCCUGGGAAACUGGGUCUAAUACCGGAUAGGACGAUGGCUUGGAUGCCCUUCUGGAAAGUUUUUCGGUGUGGGAUGAGCUCGCGGCCUAUCAGCUUGUUGGUGGGGUAAUGGCCUACCAAGGCGUCGACGGGUAGCCGGCCUGAGAAGGUGUACGGCCACAUUACAACUGAGAAACGGCCCAGCCGUCUAUAGGAGGCAGCAGGGGGGAAUAUAGCACAAUGGGCGGAAGCCUGAUGAAGAGACGCCGCGUGGGGGAUGACGGCCUUCCGGUGGUAAACUCCUUUCGCUCGGGACGAGGCGAAAGUGACGGUACCUGGAGAAGAAGCACCGGCUAACUACGUG
rnacentral:rRNA from 1 species